UGGGGAAUUUUCCGCAAUGGGCGAAAGCCUGACGGAGCAACGCCGCGUGGGUGAAGAAGGCCUUCGGGUUGUAAAGCCCUGUCUUAUGGGAAGAAGGAAGUGACGGUACCAUAGGAGGAAGCCACGGCUAACUACGUGCCAGCAGCCGCGGUAAUACGUAGGUGGCGAGCGUUGUCCGGAAUCACUGGGCGUAAAGGGCGCGUAGGCGGUCAAUUAAGUCAGGUGUGAAAACUUUGGGCUUAACCUGAAGAUUGCAUCUGAAACUGGUAGACUUGAGUGCAGGAGAGGGCAGUGGAAUUCCUAGUGUAGCGGUGAAAUGCGUAGAUAUUAGGAGGAACACCAGUGGCGAAGGCGGCUGCCUGGACUGUAACUGACGCUGAGGCGCGAAAGCGUGGGGAGCAAACAGG
rnacentral:rRNA from 1 species